rnacentral:rRNA from 1 species
CCUACGUGCGGCAGCAGUGAGGAAUAUUGGUCAAUGGGCGCGAGCCUGAACCAGCCAAGUCGCGUGAAGGAUGACUGCCCUACGGGUUGUAAACUUCUUUUAUAAAGGAAUAAAGUGAGGCACGUGUGCCUUUUUGUAUGUACUUUAUGAAUAAGGAUCGGCUAACUCCGUGCCAGCAGCCGCGGUAAUACGGAGGAUCCGAGCGUUAUCCGGAUUUAUUGGGUUUAAAGGGAGCGUAGAUGGUUUGUUAAGUCAGUUGUGAAAGUUUGCGGUUCAACCGUAAAAUUGCAAUUGAUACUGGCAGCCUUGAGUAGAGUAGAGGUAGGCGGAAUGCGUGGUGUAGCGGUGAAAUGCUUAGAUAUCACGAAGAACUCCGAUUGCGAAGGCAGCAUACUAAACUGCCACUGACAUUGAGGCUCGAAAGUGUGGGUAUCAAACAGGAUUAGAUACCCGUGUAGUC